UACGGAGGGGGCUAGCGUUGUUCGGAAUUACUGGGCGUAAAGCGCACAUAGGCGGCUUUGUAAGUUAGAGGUGAAAGCCCGGAGCUCAACUUCGGAAUUGCCUUUAAGACUGCAUCGCUUGAAUCAUGGAGAGGUCAGUGGAAUUCCGAGUGUAGAGGUGAAAUUCGUAGAUAUUCGGAAGAACACCAGUGGCGAAGGCGACUGACUGGACAUGUAUUGACGCUGAGGUGCGAAAGCGUGGGGAGCAAACAGG
rnacentral:rRNA from 1 species